UCGCAUCCUAUGAACUAUAAACAUAAACACUAGCAAACACAUUAGUUCACAGGUUGUGUUAAUCAUCAAACACCAAAACUCAUUUAGCCAAAUGGCCCAGGGUCCAUUUUCCUUACAGCUGUAACUAACAUGGAGAAUGAAAUAGCUAUGGGAGAAGAUUGUCCAGUAGUGGAAGAGGAUAUGGUUUCUAUGGAUACACCACAACGGUCUAUGGAUAAUAGGAACUCAGAUCAUUCAACUUCAUCGAGCAGCAAAAGAAGGAAGAAACACAAAGAUAAUAUGUCAAGUGACCCAUUCUUGGAUCUAGCAAGUGGAAUUCGUGGUAAUCUUAACAAAGCAUCACAACACUUUGGAAGGAUGGCAGAAGUGAUGGAGAUGGAAGCAAAAAAGGAUCAAAUGCAAGAGUUACAAGAGAAGUCUGUUGUUGAGUUGACUAGACUUGGUUUUGGGGGUAGUGAACUGCUCAAAGCCGUUGCUGUUUUUGUGAAGGUCCCUAAUCAGACGAUGAUGCUUUUCGCGCUUCCUGAGACUCUUAGGAGAGAAUUCAUCCUGAACAUGAUUGCAGAUGAAGCUCAAAGGAAGUGACUUGUCAAAUUAUCAAUGAAGAAUGUUAGGAGCAUUUGGUGAAGAGUGAUCGGCAUAUAAACUUCUGGAAGUUGAAUUUUGAAGAC
rnacentral:misc_RNA from 1 species